rnacentral:rRNA from 1 species
GAUGAACGCUGGCGGCGUGCCUAAUACAUGCAAGUCGAGCGAACAGACGAGGAGCUUGCUCCUCUGACGUUAGCGGCGGACGGGUGAGUAACACGUGGAUAACCUACCUAUAAGACUGGGAUAACUUCGGGAAACCGGAGCUAAUACCGGAUAAUAUAUUGAACCGCAUGGUUCAAUAGUGAAAGACGGUUUUGCUGUCACUUAUAGAUGGAUCCGCGCCGCAUUAGCUAGUUGGUAAGGUAACGGCUUACCAAGGCGACGAUGCGUAGCCGACCUGAGAGGGUGAUCGGCCACACUGGAACUGAGACACGGUCCAGACUCCUACGGGAGGCAGCAGUAGGGAAUCUUCCGCAAUGGGCGAAAGCCUGACGGAGCAACGCCGCGUGAGUGAUGAAGGUCUUCGGAUCGUAAAACUCUGUUAUUAGGGAAGAAAAAAUGUGUAAGUAACUAUGCCCGUCUUGACGGUACCUAAUCAGAAAGCCACGGCUAACUACGUG